rnacentral:rRNA from 1 species
UACGGAGGGAGCUAGCGUUAUUCGGAAUUACUGGGCGUAAAGCGCACGUAGGCGGCUUUGUAAGUAAGAGGUGAAAGCCCAGAGCUCAACUCUGGAAUUGCCUUUUAGACUGCAUCGCUUGAAUCAUGGAGAGGUCAGUGGAAUUCCGAGUGUAGAGGUGAAAUUCGUAGAUAUUCGGAAGAACACCAGUGGCGAAGGCGGCUGACUGGACAUGUAUUGACGCUGAGGUGCGAAAG